AACGAACGCUGGCGGCAUGCCUAACACAUGCAAGUCGAACGAAGUCUUCGGACUUAGUGGCGCACGGGUGCGUAACGCGUGGGAAUCUGCCCUUGGGUACGGAAUAACUCAGAGAAAUUUGUGCUAAUACCGUAUAAUGACUUCGGUCCAAAGAUUUAUCGCCCAAGGAUGAGCCCGCGUAAGAUUAGCUAGUUGGUGGGGUAAAAGCCUACCAAGGCGACGAUCUUUAGCUGGUCUGAGAGGAUGAUCAGCCACACUGGGACUGAGACACGGCCCAGACUCCUACGGGAGGCAGCAGUGGGGAAUAUUGGACAAUGGGCGAAAGCCUGAUCCAGCAAUGCCGCGUGAGUGAUGAAGGCCCUAGGGUUGUAAAGCUCUUUUACCCGGGAUGAUAAUGACAGUACCGGGAGAAUAAGCUCCGGCUAACUCCGUG
rnacentral:rRNA from 1 species